rnacentral:lncRNA from 1 species
UUAAUAAAACGUCUGAAAUAUAUUACUAAAUUUUUAAAACAAAUUCAAAGUAUUUUUCAUUUUAUAACUUACAAACGUAGUCUUCCUAUGUUUCGCAUCCGAGUGCCAUUAAAAAUAUAAUCGAGCGGUCAAUUUUGACUACCCGUUUUUAAAUGCUAUUACCUUCCGACUUUUCUAUUAAAAUUUGAUUGAGUAGAUGUUUUAAAUUUGUAUAUGGUGCGAAAAAAAUUAGUUUUAUAAUUGUUACAAAUUAAUUUAAUUAACACUAAACCUACCAUGCGCGCUCAGAUGACUGUUUUUGAAAUUUUGUUUAGAAUUUCUCAUAUACAACGUUACUGUAUCACUUUAUAGCUUAUUGUCUUGUCCUAUAAUAUGCAUACAACCCAUUUUUCAGUAUUCACAACUUUCGUUAUUGUUUACAAUCUGAUAAAAAAUUCAUAGCGUGUCUAAUCUACCACGAUUGAAAAAUUCAUGUUAUUUACGACUAUAUUCUUCGGAAAGCACUCUUCUGAAAUUGUUUUACGAGUCUACAAUGUAAUUGUGGAUCUACAAUGUAGAUAAACGAGCGAUUAUAUAGAACGAAUAUAUGAGUGAGAGUAGCUGACAAAAAUACGAUUCUCCAAAGUCUAAAAAUCGCGACAUUAUACCGAACGCGAUAGUUAGGUAGCUAUUGAUAAUCUUCUGAUGUUUAUCGAUGAAAUGAUACACCUUGAUCCUAAACAAAUAUUUUUUAUUUUUUGUAAAACCUUUUCUCUGGUAUCUUUCUCUUUGUGAAUACGAUCAGAGGUUUCUAUUACAAUAAAUACUUUAGGUGUUUCGACAAAUGGCGGAACACAAAUGCAUAGCGUUCUUUGAACGACAGUACGGUCUUGCAAUCCGAACAGUAGGCAUAAAUUUCACAGUGCAUAAUAAAAAUUAUUACGUCGUAUAAGUGAUAGUUUCGACAAAGUCAACAGAGUCAACAAUAUUUUGUGUUUCUACUUUAUCAUUUGUAUAUUCAUCCCCAAAAAUGACAAGACAUUCGAGGAAUAUCAAUUUAUUAGACAAAAUAAAUAAUAAUGAUGAGGAUCGUUCGGAAGCUGACCAAGAAGUUACCGAUAUUGAUGAUAUAGCAGAAAAUAAUUGUGACUUAUUUGACAGCGAUACAGACGAAGAGAAUAUUUUGAAUAUACGAAGAGGACAAAAAAAAAGAGAUUCAUAGUUAGUUCUGAAAGUGAAAAUGAGGAAGAGAUUGAAACUGCUAUGGACGGAGCUUUUUGGCAAAAAAUAAAAGAAGGAUCUAAUCGCGGAAGAGCACCGAUUUAUAAUAUUUUCAAGGAAAAAUCAGGACCGACAGAAUACACUAAACGAAAUAUUAUAAAGGGCAAAGUUGAGUCAGCAUUUUCCUUGAUUAUUGAUCAUAACAUGAUUGAACAUGUAAGAAAAUAUACAGAAUUAGAGGCAUUUCAAGUGUUGAAAACGAAAUGGAAUUUAUCUAUUGUAAAAUUAUAUGCAUUUAUUAGACUUCUAUAUGCAAGCUGCGCAUAUGAGGCUAAAAAUAUAGAUAUAUCAUAUUUAUGAAACACGAAAUGGGGUCCGUCAUUUUUCUCGACAACUAUGAGCCAAAAUGACUUCGCAGAAAUUAUAAGAUUUAUUCGGUUUGACAACAAAAAUAAACGAAGCCAACAUUUACAAAACGAUAAGUUUGCUUUGAUCUCUGAAGUUUGGUACAAAUUUAUCGAAAACAGUCAAAACUGUUAUAAACCAGGAACAUAUCUUACUAUAAAUGAACAAUUGUUUCCUACAAAAGCACGUUGUAGAUUUACUCAAUACAUGCCCAACAAACCGGACAAAUUUGGCAUAAAAUUCUGGUUAGCUUUCAAUGUAAAUAGCAAGUAUAUUGUAAAUGGCUUUCCAUAUUUGGGAAAAGAUGAAGGGAGAGAGUUAUCGGUCCCACUUGAGGAGUUUGUAGCUUUGAAAUUAGUAGAACCAUAUACAGGCCAUGGGAGAAAUAUAACAGCUGACAAUUUUUUUACAAGCGCGUCAUUAGCGAGUAAACUUUUAACAAAAAAAACUAUGCUUGUUGGAACUAUCCGUAGAAAUAAAAGAGAGCUACCAAAAUAAGCGAGACAGGUAAAGGAUAGUAUAAUGCGCUUCUCAACAAUAUUAUACAAAUCGAAUGAUUUUAUUCUUUCCAUUUAUAAAGCUAAACCGAAUAAAAAAGUAUUGAUACUUAGUUCAAUGCAUUCAUCCGUGGAAAUUGAAAAAAGUGACAUCCGUAUACCAGAGACAAUUAAAUUUUACAAUAGAACAAAAUUCGGUGUAGAUGUAACCGAUCAAAUGACCAAAAAAUAUAGUGUAAAAUCUAAAUGUCAAAGAUGGCCUUUACAGAUAUUUUUCAAUAUCUUAGAUUUAGCCAGGAUAAAUGCUUGGAUAUUAUAUAAAGAAACAACAGGUGAAGAAAAAUCGAGGCAAGAAUUUUUAUUUCAAUUGGCAGAAGAGCUUGGGACUGAAUAUCAGAAGGAGAGACUAAGCAAAAAAUGUUCAUCAAAAACUAUAAUAAACACAGCUACAGAUUCUUCUGAACGAAAAUCUUGUCAAAUAAGAUAUCGUAAAGUCAAUAAGACUAACAAAAUUUGUAUAAAAAAUAAACAAUGCGUAUGUGGAAAGUGUGCAAUUUAAAAUACUGUAAUUUGUAAAAAUUGUGCUGAAAAUGCAUAAAUAAAACUUUCUAAAUAGAAAAGCAGGAAACGGGUUUUUAUUGUAGCACCAGAAAAAUAUUUUGUUUACUAUCCAAUUGGCUAAAAUCUCUUUCUAUAUUAAGAUACAUAUGUUUUUUUGAAGCGGUCAUUUGACUGCUCAUGGUAGGAAUAGGUAUACAUGAAAUGUCAGUAGGUUUAGUGGUAAUUACAUUAGUAAAGGUCAGAGUCGGUGUUGCUGUUAGUUCUGUUCAGUUUAGUUUAGGAGCUUAUUCUGUACGGAAC